rnacentral:rRNA from 1 species
GAUGAACGCUGGCGGCGUGCAUGAUACAUGCAAGUCGAACGAAGGAUCGGGCUUGCUCGAUCCUUAGUGGCGGACGGCUGAGUAACGCGUAGGUGACCUACCCCGAAGUGGGGGAUAACUGCCCGAAAGGGUGGCUAAUACCGCUUGUGGUCGCACGUUCAUUCGUGCGGGUACAGGCGCAAGGCGCGUCGGGAGGGGCGCUCGUCCGAUUAGCCGGUUGGUGUGGGAAUGGCAUACCAAGGCGACGAUCGGUAGGUGGUCUGAGAGGACGGUCACCGAGACUGGGGCUGGGCCACGGCAGAGACUCCUACGGGAGGCAGCAGACGGGAAUGUUGCACAAUGGGGGAAACCCUGAAGCAGCAACGACGGGUGAGGGAUGAAGGCAUGCGGGUUGUAAACCUCUUGUGUCAGGGACGAUGAUGACGGUACCUGGCGAAUAAGCCACGGCUAACUACGUG